AAAAACUAUAUCUUUGAAUCAAAAAAAUAGAUGCUUUAGGUGAAUACCUAAGGACUCAAAGAUGAUGAAGGGCGCAUAAACCUGCGAUAAUUUCUAGAAAGUUGAGAAAAAACAUUGAUCUAGAAGUUCCCUAAUAGAGCAAUCUUUUCUUUAAAACUGCUGAAAAAAUUCAUAAAUCAGUAAGAAAUAACUUAGUGAACUGAAACAUCUUAGUAACUAAAGGAAAAAAAAGCAAACGCGAUUUCCUGAGUAGCGGCGAGCGAAACGGAAUUAGUCUAAACUGAUCAAUUCAGGGUUGUGGGAAGUUCAAACAAAAAAGAAAGUUUAAGCAGCUGAAACCUGCACCAUAGAUGGUGAAAGUCCAGUUUUCUAUCUUCAAGAACAAAAAUAUCCAUCCCGAGUAGCUUGGGACACGUGAAAUCCCUUGUGAAUCAACGAGGACCACCUCGUAAGACUAAAUACUCUUGAGUCACUGAUAGCGAAAAGUACCGUGAGGGAAAGGUGAAAAAGAACCCCUAUGGGGAGUGAAAUAGAUUAUGAAACCUAGAGCAAUCAAUCCGUGGGAGAUAAGUAAUUAAAGAAUAUUGACCGCAUGCCUGUUGAAGAAUGAGCCGGCGACUUAUAAUUUUUGGCAUGGUUAAAGAAAUUUUCUGUAGCCAGAGUGAAAACAAGUCUAAAUAAGGCGUUGUAGUCAUAAAUUAUAGACCCGAACCCGAGUGAUCUAACCAUGACCAGGAAGAAGCUAAAGUGAAACUUAGUGGAUGUCCGAACCGACCGAUGUUGAAAAAUCGACGGAUGAGUUGUGGUUAGUGGUGAAAUGCUAAUCGAACUCGGAGCUAGCUGGUUCUCCUCGAAAUGCGUUUAGGCGCAGCAAUUGUCGAUGCACUAUUAAGGGGUAGAGCACUGUUUCGGUACGGGCCAAUAAAAUGGUACUAAACUGUCACAAACUCCGAAUACUUAAUAGAAGUCCGCCGAGAAUUGGUGAGACUUUGGGGGAUAAGCUCCAAAGUCAAAAGGGAAACAGCCCAGAUCAUCAGCUAAGGCCCCUAAAUAAUAGCUAAGUGAUAAAGGAAGUUUCGACGCAAAAACAACCAGAAGGUUCGCUUAGAAGCAGCUAUCCUUUAAAGAAUGCGUAAGAGCUCACUGGUAAAACAGCGUAGAUGCACCGAAAAUGUACGGGACUAAGCUAUUUGCCGAAGCUAUGAGAGACUUUAUAAAGUCUCGGUAGGGGAGCGUUCUGUUUGAGGUGAAGACUCGUUGAAAAAGAGAUUGGAUCAAACAGAAGUGAGAAUGUCGGUUUGAGUAACGAAAACAUUGGUGAGAAUCCAAUGCCCCGAAAACCUAAGGUUUCCUCUACAAGGUUCGUCCGUGGAGGGUUAGUCAGGACCUAAGAUAAGGCCGAAAGGCGUAAUCGAUGGAAAACAGGCAAAUAUUCCUGUACUUGUUUGAGUUUGGUGACAAAUGACGAAGAAGGCAAAACCUAAGCAAUUAUGAAUGGUUGUAAUGAAAGUGUCCAACAUAUGGUUAAAAAAAAAACUUUAACUGUUUAGUAUGAAGGCAUGAAUCGGCAGUUUCUCUUUCUCUUUUUGUUUUGUUAUAAGAUAUGAGAUAAUUGUUAAUUAGAGUUUUGUCAAACUUCCAAGAAAAGUUUGGGACACCUUAUAAUUUAAAUAACCUGUACCCUAAACCAACACAGGUAGGUAAGUUGAGUAUACUCAGGGGCGCGAGAGAACUCUCUCUAAGGAACUCGGCAAAAUAGCUCCGUAACUUCGGGAGAAGGGGUACCUCAUCUAAAUAGAGGUCGCAGUGAAAUGACUCUUUGAACUGUUUAUCAAAAACAUAGGUUUCCGCAAAGUCGUAAGACAAUGUAUGGGAGCUGACGCCUGCCCAGUGCCGUAAGGUUAAAGAAAUUGGUUAAAUGCUAAUAACUGAAGCCCCGGUGAACGGCGGCCGUAACUCUGACGGUCCUAAGGUAGCGAAAUUCCUUGUCACGUAAGUUGUGACCCGCACGAAAGGCGUAAUCAAAAGAGUACUGUCUCGGAGAGAGGCUCGGUGAAAUAGACAUGUUCGUGAAGAUGCGAACUUCUAAUAGUAAGACAGAAAGACCCCGGAAGCUUGACUGUAUCUUGAUAUUGGCUUCCAGUUGUUUUUGCAUAGUCUAGGUGGGAGGCUAGGAAAUUAAGUUUGCGGAUUUAAUUGAGCCAUUUGUGAAAGACCACCCUUGAACAACUAGAAUUCUAAAAGUGUUUCCUUUCAACAGGACACUUGACAGUGUCAGGUGGGCAGUUUUUUUGGGGCGAAAACCUCCUAAAAAGUAACGGAGGUUCACAAAGGUUUUCUCAAACUGGAUGGAAAUCAGUUUUUGAGUAUAAAGGCAAAAGGAAGCUUGACUGUAAGACUGAUAAGUCGAGCAGAGGCGAAAGCCGGUCUUAGUGAUCCGACGGUAUACCUUGUGGAAGGGCCGUCGCACAAAAGAUAAAAGUUACUCCGGGGAUAACAGGCUCAUCUUCCCCAAGAGUUCACAUCGACGGGAAGGUUUGGCACCUCGAUGUCGACUUUUCGCAACCUGGGGCGGUAGUACGUCCCAAGGGUUGGGCUGUUCGCCCAUUAAAGCGAAACACGAGUUGGGUUCAGAACGUCGUGAGACAGUUUGGUCCAUAUCUGCUAUUAGCGAUAGAAUAUUGAGAGAAUUUUUCCAUAAUACGAGAGGACUUGGAAGAACAUACCACUGGUGUACCAGUUCUUACACCUAUAGGAAACGCUGGGUAGCUAUGUAUGGAGAAGAGUACCGCUGAAAGCAUCUAAGUGGGAAGCUCACCUCAAGAUGAAUAUUCUCUAGAAAGACUCCGACAAGAUCAGCCGGUAGAUAGGUUUCAAGUAGAAGAUUUGUAAAAAUUUUAGCUAAGAAAUACUAAUAGUCGAUUGUUUUUGAUUCUAAAAAA
rnacentral:rRNA from 1 species